rnacentral:rRNA from 1 species
CUUUAUAUGAGAGUUUGAUCCUGGCUCAGGACGAACGCUGGCGGCGUGCCUAAUACAUGCAAGUCGAACGCUUCCUACCGGUGCUUGCACCGGGAAAGAAGAGUGGCGGACGGGUGAGUAACACGUGGGUAACCUACCUACAAGCGGGGGAUAACAUUCGGAAAC